rnacentral:ncRNA from 1 species
AGCAGCCGCGGUAAUUCCAGCUCCAAUAGCGUAUAUUAAAGUUGUUGCAGUUAAAAAGCUCGUAGUUGGAUUUCGGGACGGCACGGUCGGUCCGCCGCAAGGUGUGUCACUGGCCCGGCUGUUCUUCCUCGCAAAGACUGCGUGUGCUCUUAGCUGAGUGUGCGCAGGACUCGCGACGUUUACUUUAGUGUAUAUUUAUAUUUAUAUUAUUUUUUAUUAGAUGCUCAGCCCACUGAAACAGAAAGAGAGGUGUACGAGGUUGUUAAAGGAGUGCUAGAUAGUGCUGAUAGGAUGCUGGAAGAGCUUCGUUCAUAUCCUGGAGCCAGUCAAGCCAUCAGAGAAGUAUGUGUGUACCGUAACUGUAAUUCAUGAGACAAGACAAAUUAUGUUAUGGGUGGCAGGGUUUUUUCAUUUUUCUUGCUCUUUCUUUUAUUACAGUAGAUAACCAAAUAUCUUUUCUCUGUAGGCAAUAUCAAAU